rnacentral:tRNA from 1 species
GUCCCGGUGGCACAGAUGGAUAGCGCAGCCCCCUCCUAAGGGGCAGGUCGGCGGUUCGAAUCCGCCCUGGGACGCCA